rnacentral:rRNA from 1 species
UACAGAGACUGCAAGCGUUAUUCGGAUUCACUGGGCGUAAAGGGUGCGCAGGCGGUUGUGUGUGUCAGGUGUGAAAGCCCCGGGCUCAACCUGGGAAUUGCAUUCGAGACUGCGUAGCUAGGGUGCGGAAGAGGGAAGCGGAAUUUCCGGUGUAGCGGUGAAAUGCGUAGAUAUCGGAAGGAACACCAGUGGCGAAAGCGGCUUCCUGGUCCAGCACCGACGUCAGGCACGAAAGCGUGGGGAGCAAACAGG